CCUGUAUAUUCCUUAGUUAGAUGUCUCAGUAAGUUCAGUAUAUCAUCGUCUACUUAGACAAAAUACAUCAUGGUCAAACAAUACAAAUAUUUCACAAGUAGAAAAGGCAUACAAAUAUUAAUUUUCAGUAAAAUGAUGAAGUGUUCAGAUAUAUCAAUGCUUUCACCUCACUUGUCAUGCUGUUAUGAACUAUAUUUUUUGUGUAAUUGCUAUAUCAGAAUUGAAGUAACCCAUUCGACGCUUGACUGUAUCUUAGCAUGCUUAUUGAGUACAUUCCUUAUGUCAUUUUUACAGAUAAAUUAAUUUGUGUCAAGUAUCGCUUUUUGCCAUAUGGACAUGACAAGUUGUCAUACAUUGGCCUGUCAAAUUUAUCGGGUGCCAAGUUCACUUGCCAUAUUCUCAAUUUUGUUUCUUCUGAUUUUGGUGUUGGUGUGUGUAUUGUUAGUGAAAAUAUGCUCAUAGUUUUUUUAAAUAUGUGUACGCCAUUAACUGAUGUCAUUGUGUUUUCCAGGGGUAUAUGAACCAGAAAUGAUGUGAUAUACUUGGUUAUUUGAACAUGAAGGUCAACCACGGGGUGGCGCGACAUGGGUGAGCUGAAAUUGUUCUACUGAUUCCUUGAUGCUUUGUUCAUUGCUUUGUUCUUAUUUUAUCGUUCUUUAUUUGCUUUGUUCUUUCCUACAAGAAGAUGCCGAGUCGUGCAAUAUGUUCAAAGAAGUGAGAAUCUGCAUUUUAUGAAUGUUUUCUUCUUUCUUCAUUGUUACCUCAAGUCAGUGAAUUCAGUUAAAUUGUACUGAGCAGCUUCAUACGCAUGGUUUCUCCAUCUACACAUCUUAUUCAGUCACGAGGCCAUUAAGAUCUUUUUGACUUUUAUAAAAAGGGUGAUGCCAAUUGGACGUCACCCUGUCCAACUUGAUCUUUAACUUGCUAUUACUGUUUGGAUCUUCACAUUCAAGGAUUUUUCAUUAAAUCGUCGGUUCACCAGUUCUUUGUUACUUGAGAUAUUGUGAUAAACUUAUAUCAUUGCUUACUAUACAUAUGUCUGGAUGAUGCCUGCAGGCUCAUUACAAGCUUCAGGUGGAUCAAAUAGUGGGCCUUCUAUAUAUAUAUUCAGCUGUAUCAUUUCUUACUAUAUAUGUCUUCCUGUAGACGAGACGAAACCAUACAUGGAUCCUUUGCCUCCUUUCUUGCUCAGACCCCAUGAUACAACCUCGGCGGUUGUCCAGCGACUAACAGGUAAUUUCUCUUUCAAUUUGAUGAUGAUGGAUGAGAAUCAGUUCUAUGAUUGCAGCUUAUAAAAACAGAUGUUGGAUGUCCCUUAUGUGAUGUGCUUAUUUACCAUGAUAGAUGCAAUUGCUUAUUAGUAGGUGCUCUCCGAAUCCUUCUUUAACUAAUUUACUUUGAAGUUCGGACAAAGGAGACUAUAACUUUUUAUAUUCGUUCUAUCAUGGAUUCCCUCUCUAGCCUAUGUACGUUUCAGAAAUAGGUACACACCUAGGAGAAGCCUGAGACCUAAUAAUAGUGCUAAGCAAUUACUCUGAUUGUCAUUCUAUGCUAUCAUCACAACACAGGUCAAUAGACAGUCAACAAAUGUGUAAUCAGCUUUCCCUGGGUCCUGCAUCAUCUACUAAUAAUCAAAUUUUGUGGCGAGUGUCUUAUAAAUCAGCAUACCUAUUUCUCCACACUGGAUAGCUUUUAUUGUGACUACAAAGAAUAUCGUUUGAGGAUGGCAUGCCAAUUGUUCUAUGUCUUGGGUAUGAAGUAAUUUCUAAAAUGUCUUAGGUUUCCCUAUAAAUUCUGCAAAUUUGCGGCAUGUCAUUAAAACCUACAGGGUGCUCCACCGAUGGUGAAAAUACCUCACAUGAUGAUGUUGGAUAUUCUUCUACAAACUUCUGGCCUACUAGUGGCUGAGUAUCGAAGCAAAAUGUGACAGUUGCAUGAUGUGGUUGACUGUUUAUUUGCAUACAGCAAUAUCAUCUUUUGGAGAUAAAACAGCCGUAUGGAUGUUACAUGAGACCAUGUCGGAAGACCCUGCUGCUAUGUAAGCAAAAGGAUUCAUGAUACCCACGGUGAAAACAGAGAUAAGAUGCUACAGUUAGAGCAGCAUUGAGAAACCGAGGACACGAAAUGAGUCUGAAAAAUGCUAUGGGCUGAUUUGUUCUAGCUAGGUACAUGCAAUGCUUCUCUUAUAUAUAUGCAACGUAACAUCGCGGAUAACUAGAACUGUUGUGAUGUUGCUCUAUUAUAAGUACAAAUAACUCAUGGUUAUCUUUUCUUAUGCAAUGUGUGGUAGAAGUUGUACUCACAGGAAGACUAUCGUGCUUUGUAUAAACCACAUUCUAUGAUUCACUUCUGUUAUGCUUAUUUACAUUCCAGUGUUAGGACUGAAAUCCAUCUAUUGUAAUGAAUUUGGUUAUAUUGGCAUUACCUAUUUGACUUAGGCUUGGUUCAUCACAUAUAGACUGUUUUUCUUGUAACCCGCUGCUUGUAUGACCUAAAACUGUCAUGUAUAUGAGGCAAGUUAUUAGCAAUGUUUCACAUUUUCUUACUUGCAAUACUAUGCUUGCCUGUUCAGGUCUUCCAAGACCUAAAUCAUCAGAAAUCCAGCAC
rnacentral:lncRNA from 1 species